GAUGAGCGCUGGCGGCGUGCUUAACACAUGCAAGUCGAACGAAGCAUUUAGGACAGAUUACUUCGGUUUGAAGUUCUUUAUGACUGAGUGGCGGACGGGUGAGUAACGCGUGGGUAACCUGCCUUGUACUGGGGGAUAGCAGCUGGAAACGGCUGGUAAUACCGCAUAAGCGCACAAUGUUGCAUGACAUGGUGUGAAAAACUCCGGUGGUAUAAGAUGGACCCGCGUCUGAUUAGCUAGUUGGUGAGAUAACAGCCCACCAAGGCGACGAUCAGUAGCCGACCUGAGAGGGUGACCGGCCACAUUGGGACUGAGACACGGCCCAGACUCCUACGGGAGGCAGCAGUGGGGAAUAUUGCACAAUGGAGGAAACUCUGAUGCAGCGACGCCGCGUGAGUGAAGAAGUAAUUCGUUAUGUAAAGCUCUAUCAGCAGGGAAGAUAGUGACGGUACCUGACUAAGAAGCUCCGGCUAAAUACGUG
rnacentral:rRNA from 1 species